CAGUUUCCUUCAGCUUAGUCCCUUUAUUCAUCAGGGGUCACCACAGCGAAAUGAACCGACAACUUAUCCAGCAUGUGUUUUACACAGCGAAUGCCAUUCCAGCUGCAACCCAGAACUGGGAAACACCCAUACUCAUUUAAACACACACAUACACACACACACACACACACACUCAAACACUAUGGCCAGUGUAGUUGAUCAGUUCCCCUAUAGCGCAUGUGUUUGGACUGUGGGGGAAACCGGAGCACCCGGAGGAAACCCACACCAACACGGGGAGAACAUGCAAACUCCACACAGGAACACCAACUGACCCAGCCGAGACUCAAACCAGCAACCUUCUCUCUUGAUUUAUGUUUAUAUACAACAUAUCAUUAUAAUGCAUAGUCCUAAACCUGUUUUAAAAGUUUAUGUUUAUUCAGGGUUCAGUGUUGAGUAGACUGUAUUAUUUAGACGUGUAUGCUGUGUAAAUGCAGUAAAUGUAAAUCAGUGUGUUCUUCUCUGCAGUGUGUAUCAGGUGGUGGUGGAGGAAGAGCGCCCUCGUCGGGCUCGUGGUGGUGAAGCGGAGAUCCUGCGCUGUUUCCCGGUGCCGGUUCACUAUCAGAACGCCAGCAGUCUGAGCUCUCGCUAUUACUACAGCGCAGAAUUCCCAUCCGCCGGCGUCCCGUCAGCGCAACCCUUCACCAUCGGGGACAACCGAACAUACAGCGGCUACUGGAACCCUCCGCUACUGCCGCACAAGAGCUACAGCGUCUACUAUCAGGCGGUCAGCACCGCCAACGGGGAGACGAAAAUCGACUGUGUUCGAGUGGCCACCAAAGCUGCUAUCUUGGUCACUCAACUCACCACUCCUUACGUUCGCAUCGCUCCGGCCGCUGGAGACAACCAGCUAACAGGAGCGGCGACACACAAGCCCAGCGCGGUGGAGCCGGAGAAACAGACGGACCACACGGUGAAGAUCGCCGGAGUCAUCGCAGGAAUAUUACUCUUCGUCAUCAUCUUCCUCGGCGUGGUGCUGCUCAUGAAGAAACGGAUAAAGAGCGAGCGCUGAGAGACGGACGCUCAGAGAUGAGCAACAUCAGUGGAGAACAGAGCAAAUAUCACUCACCGUUUAGCUUAAACACGCACACACACACACACACACACACACACACACACACACACACACACACACACACACAUUGUUUUAUUUGCUUUAUGUUCUGGCAGACAUCAUGAGGAUGUUGAGUAACGAGUGUGUGUUGCAUGAAGAUGAGUUCAGUGUUCACAAACACACAAUAAAGUAUUUGAUAUUUGACAAGGUGUUUUGAUUGGAUGUUAUUUGGUGUUGUACAAUUUUGUAAAUACACAUGAAUAUUGAAUAAAAUUAAUAACAAAACUAUAUUAAAAAAUAAAAACUGUUAAGAGUGUGUUUAAAGGCUACACAUGAACAAGAGAAGAUCAGAGAUCUGUGGUGUGUGUUUUAUUAGACAUGUCGGAAAAUAAAGAUCGCCAAACACAUCCACUGAAUAUAAUCCACAGAGGAACUGUGUGUGUGUGUGUGUGUGUGUGUGUGUGUGUGUGUGUUUGUGUAUGCUUGUGUGUGUAUGCUUGUGUGUGUGUGUGUGUGUGUGUGUGUGUGUGUGUGUGUGUGUGUGUGUGUGUGUGUGUGUGUGUGUGUGUGUGUGUUUGAUUGUGUGGUGUGUGUGUGGUGUGUGUAUGCUUGUGUGUGUGUUUAUGCAAGUGCAUGUGCAGCAUAUAUGUGUGUGUGUGCUUUUGCCCGCGUGUGUGUGUGUACGUGCAUCUAUGCUAGUUUGUGACUGAUCUUUUUGUGUGUGCAUUUAUGUGCAUGUGUAUGCUAGUGUGUGUGUGUGUCUCUCUGUGUAUGCGUGUGCGUGCGUGUGUGCGUGCGUGCGUGAGCUGUACUUCAGAUCUCUCAGUCUCUUGCAGCGCUUCAUUUGCUGAAUCAGAUUAAACCAGGGCCGCAUGGGGAGACCUUAAUAUACCCAUAUCUCUGCUUUUUUACCGCGCACACACACACACACACACACAGUGAACAUGCACUGUGUGUGUGUGUGUGUGUGUGUGUGUGUGUGUGUGUGUGUGUGUGUUUGUGUGUGUGUGUGUGUGUGUGUGCGUGUGUGUGGUUUUUGUAAGCUGUUUCCCUCUCAAUUUAAUUCAACAGACCUUUUUUAUACUCAAGUUUUGCCAAUGUAUUACCAAAGAAUAAACUAGUGAAGUGAUUCUGCAGACACGUGUAAAAGCAAGACUUUUCUGAACCUUUGUAAUAGUUUAUAUUGACGUUGCUAUAUAGUCUGCGUUGGUGUUGUAUAUUUCCCUACAAAAGCCUUGUGUUAAAGCUGUCAUUUUACAUAUUUAACUGUGUAUUCAGUUUUAUGCAGAAGUUUGUGCCCCCCUCUGUGGCUGCAUAAUGAUGUGCUCUUUCUUUAUGAGAGAGGAUCACAGUGAAAUGCCAUUGGGUUUCCGGUGAAAGCCAGAUAAUGUCAUGUCUUUCAGGCGUAAAUCUGUAGUGUAGCAGUGUUGAGAUUACAUUAAAACUGAAAAUAUGUUGUGCAAGAGUUUGUGCACCCUCUCUGUGUGGAUUUCAAAACCUGUAGUCAUUUAAUGCUGACUGAUCACAGCACAGCAUUGAUGAAGAUGUUUGAUGAUGUUGAUUGACCUUGUCCGACUGUCAGUAAAUGGCAAAUGAAGACAUCCCUUACCUCAAAACUCUGCAUUAUAAGGAAAAGAAAACACUCUGUACAGUGGGAAGUGUGGCAUGCAUUCAUAACGUGCUUUUGCGCAGCGACGCUACUUUGAAUGAGUCCGAUUUACUAUACAUUAAACGACAACUGCGCUUCACGAAAAACAGAGUUAAGAUGCUGUUCUUUUAUCCUACAUGGAUGCUUUGAGGAUAAACAUGAGACCAAGACCUUGAGUAUGGUGAGAAUGAAUGAAUGAAUGAAUGAAUGAAUGAAUGAAUGAAUGAAUGAAUGAAUGACAGCUUCUUAAGUAUUGCCGAGCAGGCCUACCUUGUGUUUUAUUUUGCUAAUUUUAGCUAUUUUUAAACAGAUCAAUAUAAUGUCUGAAUCUCUCCAUCAUUUAUAUGACUUCAUAUAACCUGUACGUCUGAUAAGCUUUUUAUAUUAAUGGGCAAUGCACAGAUGUUGAUGUUGCAGGAUGUUUUACACUACAGUAUGUUUGCAAUGUUUACAUCGCUCUAUCUUACUUCAAAUCUAAAUCCUAAAUAUCAGAAAUGACAACAGAUCAUUCAGAUGUUUUUCUUUUAAUGUUGUUGAUUAAUGCACUUAACAGAUCAUUCAUUCAUUUUCCUUCUGAUUUUUCCCUGGUUUACCACAGUGGAAUGAACCGCCUCUUACUUGACAGAUUUAUCUAUUUUUAAUUUCCGCUGGUCUGUGAAAUGUGUUUCAUGUUUGGUGAAAUAAUCUCUAAUUGCAUCUUUAGUGAUUUAAUAAUUACUCUGUCUUGUUCAAUUGGUGGAUUUAGAAGUUUUUGCAAAAAAAAAAAAAGCAGGCGUGAAUUUAGCUGGUUUUGACGCAAAAUAAACACUAUUUUUCAAUUCAAUUCAAUUCAGCUUUAUUUGUAUAGCGCUUUUACAAUGUAGAUUGUGUCAAAGCAGCUUCACAUAGAAGAUUAUAGUAAAUUGGAACAGAGUAGUUCAGUUUUCAAGAUUUAAGUUCAGUUUAGCUCAGUUCAGUGUGGUUUAAAGUCAUUACUAAGAGUCUAAACACUGAAGAGAAAAAAAUCAUCGAUGCGCAGCUCUACCGAUCCUGAACCAUGCAGGCUACUGGCGACAGCGGAGAUGGAAAAAACUUCACUAAUUGGCGAAAGUGAACAAAAAAAAACCUGGAGAGAAACCGGACUCAGUUUGGCGCGAACAUUUAAAUUUCUUCGCUGGCCAAAAGUCUUGUGCAGAGCUGCAGUCUCAGCAGCAGAGGCUGGAAGCUGGCCUUAACGAAGACUCGUCUGUCCCUGGAGCAUCACAGGAAUCAGUCUCAUGCUCUCCACUCCUCCAUGACCACCACAGCAGCUGCUCAGGAUACGGCCUGGUCCAGGAUUAUGGAAGCCUUGGGAUCAUCUCAUCGCUGGUCUUGAGUCGAAUCAGUGACUCCGCAUAAUCUGAGGACCUCGGGAUGAGUAUCCCCAGGUGAAAAUACAGAAUAAAUAGAAUAAUUAGCGUAGCUGCUGUUCAUAGUGUAUAUAAACAAGAUGCAGAAACUUGUGUGGAAGUGAUGCACUGAGUGUACGCUUUACUAAACAGAUAGGUCUUUAAUCUAGUGUUGAACUAAGAGAGAAUGUCUGAGCCUCGGACGUUAUCAGGUAGGCCAGAGUACAGGAGCCAUAAAGGAGAAGGCUCGACCUCCUUUAGUAGACUUUGCUAUUCUAGGUACUACAGAAGAGUUUUGAGAUCUUAAAGAGCGAGUUGGAUUGUAGCGAGACAGACGGUUAGUUAGAUAAACAUGAGCUCGAUUAUUUAAAGCUUUAUAGGUGAGGAGUAAUAUUUUUAAUUCAAUGUGAAACUGAACAGGCAGCCAGUGUGAGGAGGAGAACAUUGAGCUGAUAUGAUCAUAUUUCUAGACCUGGUCAGAACUCUGGCUGCUGCAUUUUGUACUGGCUGAAGUUUGUUAAUAGAGGAUGCUGGACAGCCAGCAAACAGAGCAUUACAGUAAUCCAGCAUAGAGCUCAUAAGAGCAUGGACUAGCUUUUCUGCAUCUGAGAUGGAUAGCAUAUUUCGUAAUUUAGCGAUAUUUCUCAGAUGAAAGAAGGCAGUUUUUGUGACAUGGGAUAUAUGGUUUUCAAAAGUUAGAUUGCUGUCUAAUAUGACACCCAGAUCUUUUAUAGUAGAGCUAAAGCUAACUCUGUAUCCCUCUAAUUGUAGAUUGAGUAGCGAGAUCAGCUGUGUACAAGAUUUAGGCCCA
ensembl:lincRNA